rnacentral:snRNA from 1 species
UCACCACUCGGGCCACCUGGCUUAGAUCAAGUGUAGUAUCUGUUCUUUAUAGGUACGUCAAGUAAGCCAAAAGGCGGGCGUUCAAGCCCGCCAGAGAUCCUCUUUACUGAACACCUCUCUUUCGUGUUUUUCAGUUUAACCACUAUAAUGGAGGCACCGCCUCCGUUCUUGGUUAUGUUAUUUUUGACGCCCUUGCUCCUUGUCCUCUGCUUGCACGACGAGGACAUGAUGACCCUGCUGUUACACCACUGGCUUGCGUCGUCGAGGGAUC